rnacentral:misc_RNA from 1 species
CCUUAUACGAUGAUUACUCACGAUGAGUGUCCACACAGAUUGAUACGGUUUAUACGAAAGAGACGAUACUGGGUCUGUAGCUCAGGUGGUUAGAGCGUUCGCCUGAUAAGCGAGAGGUCGGUGGUUCGAGUCCACUCAGACCCACCAAUUCCCUUCCCAAGGAAUUGGCAUACAGUAUCGACACCUUGAUGGGGCUAUAGCUCAGCUGGGAGAGCGCCUGCCUUGCACGCAGGAGGUCAGCAGUUCGAUCCUGCUUAGCUCCACCAUCUUUAAGCGCACUUUCUUUGCUAUAGAAAGUAGAGUGCUUUUAAAAAUGGUUUCAUUAAGAAAUCUAGCUCUUUAACAAUUUGGAAAGCUGACAAAUCAACAAUUUAUUGUUGAUUGUAAAGUUCUCAAUGUUUGUCUUUAUGACAAACACCAAUACAACACAUUCAAGUGUUCUGGAAUUUGAGUCCGGCAAAAUCGAAAGCUAUCUCGCUCAUUCAAAUAAUGAGAUAACAACUUUGGGUGUUUAACUUCAAUUCGAAACUCCUUCGGGUUGUAU